rnacentral:rRNA from 1 species
AAAUGACUGAGCGGCGGACGGGUGAGUAACGCGGUGGGUAACCUGCCUCAUACAGGGGGAUAACAGUUAGAAAUGACUGCUAAUACCGCAUAAGCACACAGUACCGCAUGGUACAGUGUGAAAAACUCCGGUGGUAUGAGAUGGACCCGCGUCUGAUUAGCUGGUUGGCGGGGUAACGGCCCACCAAGGCGACGAUCAGUAGCCGACCUGAGAGGGUGACCGGCCACAUUGGGACUGAGACACGGCCCAAACUCCUACGGGAGGCAGCAGUGGGGAAUAUUGCACAAUGGGGGAAACCCUGAUGCAGCAACGCCGCGUGAGUGAAGAAGUAUUUCGGUAUGUAAAGCUCUAUCAGCAGGGAAGAAAGUGACGGUACCUGACUAAGAAGCCCCGGCUAACUACGUGCCAGCAGCCGCGGUAAUACGUAGGGGGCAAGCGUUAUCCGGAUUUACUGGGUGUAAAGGGAGCGUAGACGGCACAGCAAGUCUGAAGUGAAAUCCCCGGGCUCAACCCGGGAACUGCUUUGGAAACUGUUGGGCUGGAGUGCUGGAGAGGCAAGCGGAAUUCCUAGUGUAGCGGUGAAAUGCGUAGAUAUUAGGAGGAACACCAGUGGCGAAGGCGGCUUGCUGGACAGUAACUGACGUUGAGGCUCGAAAGCGUGGGGAGCAAACAGGAUUAGAUACCCUGGUAGUCCACGCCGUAAACGAUGCAUACUAGGUGUCGGGGAGCAAAGCUUUCCGGUGCCGCCGCAAACGCAGUAAGUAUGC